ensembl:snRNA U6 U6 spliceosomal RNA
GUGCUCGCUUCGGCAGCCCAUAUACUAAAAUCGAAACAAUACAGAAAGGACUGGCAUAGCCCCCAUGCACGUAUAACAUACAUUAAAAUGAAUUCUUACUUUCUUUA